rnacentral:lncRNA from 1 species
AAUUAAUUAACUUUUAAUCAAUAAGUUAGGCAAAAUAAAUAAGUUGAUUUCUAACCAUUAUCUCUCGGUAAACAUAAACCAAAGAAUACCCAGAUCCUAUAAGGCAAAAAGAAGGAUUCUUUAUGGAAUUAAACCUCAAUCCAUAACCAAAUUCGAUAAAUUAAAGAUGAGAACCAAUUUGGCGUUCAUACUAUUUGGGCGCGAUUGAGAUUUCUAUAAUUUUUCAAUUAGGGUUUUGAUUUGGUCGUUCAUACUACUUGAAAGAAGGAAGAGAAAGCCGAGAGGUUGACGCUAAGAAAUAGCAAAAAAGGGACACAUAACCAAAGUUUCUUCCAUCUCUUCGAUCCCGUUCCUCGCUAAAAUUGUCGCUGGUAGUUGUGGGAGAAACUAUCGCUGUAAGUUUUUUUACUUUUUUUUUUAUAAAUUUGGGAUAAACCAAAAAAAUCCUCCGGCAAAAAUUUCCUUAAUCGCCUCCAGACGACCUAACCUCCCAUGGCAAAGCUUUUGUUUUUCUUUUUUUGCUUUGAAGGCAUCCAAUGUUAGCCCUCAAGCACUGUAACAUAACGUUCUUUGACCAAUUUCAUUCGCUUGGUCUACAUUAGUUUUCUUUGCUAUUGUGGGUCAAAAUAGUCGAGGUUUCUUAAUUUUCUUUAUUGUGGGUCAGAUUCAAGAUUAAUUCAACUUAUUGCUUCUUCUUUUUUAUUCUAGUAUUUAAAAAUUUCUCAUCUAAGUGGGUGAACGUAUCUCUAGGUUAAUAUUAGAUUUUGAGGGUGUAAUUAUGUGGGUAAAUAGGUUUUUAACUAUACUUUGUUAUGUGAUCGAUUUUGAUGUUGCAAUAGGUGAAUUGCUCGUUUGUUGGGGUUAAAAUUGAGCUUAAUCGAGUAUGUCAUGUACCUCCAAUAUUCGAUAGAAUGCCAACCUAACAGUAGCAAGUAGGCUUGUCAUAUUCCUCUUCUUUGUUGCAAGAGUUAGUCACUAUUAAUGUCCCUGGAUAAUAUUGUCGCGCUUAGCUAUAUUUGGUUUAGUCCAUUGUGUGGUGUGCAUUCUUCUCAGGCCGGGGGGGGGGGGGGGUAUUUUUUAACUUGUGGUGUCUGUCGUUUCGUUAUGUGUCCUAUUUAGUUAGUGAAACUGCAUGAGGAUAAGGGGAGAACCUGAUAUUAUGAUAGGAGUUGAAGCUACUCAGUGAUUGUAUUGGCAUUAUUGUUGAUGGACCUUGAGGAAUCAAAUAUUUACAUUUAUAAUUCCUUUCAACAUGAAAACUUAUUGGUCGUGGUGUCUCCAAAGUGUAGUACAUGAUGAGUUGAACUGAAUUUAGUUGCGUAUUCUCUGUGGCAAUUUGCAGAUUGCUGGUGCAGUAGUGGUAGCAAGAUAUCCGUGAGAAACUCUUGUGCCCUUAGACAUCAGGGGAAGUGAACUUGGUGAUAAAUUUUUAGUAUUUAAAAUUCUCUUUACAUCAUCUUGUUACUCUAGUAGAGUUGUGUUGCUUGUUUCAAAACUGGAGCUACAUUUCUAAGGAUUCAUGUCAUGUAUAGUUUUAACUUCAAAAGAACUUUUUUUAAGUAGUUUUCUUGACAUUUGCUCCAGCAUUAGGUGAUUCUUUUUUAACUUAUAGGUCAUAAAGAGAUUAUAAGAUCAUUCAGUUAUAUUUUAUUAAAAAAAAUCAUGUUACAGUCAAUAAGAAAAGAUUCAAAGAGCUAAACUUUGAUGGAAAUAUAUUCUUUGCAAGCUAAAGUCCCAUAAAAGAAUCUUCCACACACAUCCCCUUAUCUCUUGAUUUUAAAUGUUCCCAAGAUAGGAAAUUAAGUUUGCAGGUAGACAUUAAAUUAUCUUGACGAUUAAUUUAUCCUUUCUAAAGUUUCUUUCAUCAGAGCUAUACUUUUUGUGCAAACUAUAAUAAUUGUAGAUUUGUACAAUAUUUGAAAAGCUUAAUUGGCCUAAAUAUUUUCAAUCUAUAAAUUUUCUUGUCUUACUAUUAACAUCAUCUAGGUGCUAAAUUUAUUGUACCCCAUACAUUUGAAGCUAUUAGGAGCUUAUAAUUAGUGAUUCUAGAACUUUGAUGCUUGCAUGUGUUGUCAUUGCUAUUUUUUAUUUCUCCACGAGAAAUUACACUUAGGAAGCUAUUGUUUUGUUUUCUAUUUAUAAUGUUAUAUAGGAUCAUAUAUUUUUUGUAUCUUAGUGUUUAAUUUGUUAUUUUCUUUUCUAUAAUUUAAUAUUAAUGGUUAUCUCACCAGAAUUUACAUUUAACUAGUAAAAUAUAGUGUACCAUAUUUUUGAACUUUUUUGUCCACAAUUGUAUGUUUUUGAUUGCGUUUAAUUUGUGGCCAAGAAGUUAUUGGUUAUAUCACCAGAGUUGGUAUGUAUGAAAAAUCUAGAGUGCAAUUCAUAGAGUUCAACUAGUAUCACACUGUGUGUCUAGUGGUUGAUUGUAACUUAUGUAGCCUUAAGAGAUUUACUUCAUUUGCAGUGAUUGCCAAUGAUAGAGAAAGUUGGAUAUGUUCACAUUUAUGAUGAGUUGUUAGUUAGAUAACUAUUUAUCACACUAUUUUCAGUAGAAAAUAAUUUUAUCUUUUAUUAAUUAUUUAGCUUCUCAUUGUUAAAGUCUGAACUUUGAUACUCAAUAGGUUCGUUGUGAAUUUAAGUUUGAAACCCUAAGUAUUUCUAAAGUUAAGAGUAAAUCAUAUGGAUAUUGCCAAUAUAUAUCUAUUACUUUGGUUGUGUAGGGUUUUGUUGUUGUUAUAUGUUGAUUCAGAUAGAGUGACUUUCACUUGUUCUUGUAAUAUCAUUUAUUUUGUAUUCUCAUACACAUGGUUUGUCCCUCAGAAGCUUAAAAUUAGUUUCUUCUCAAGUGCGUUAAAUGGAUAUGCUAAAAUUAAAUACAUGAGUCAAGAACUAUUUGUAGUACUUUCGCUUCUUUAGGAAGAGUUGAUGUUAUGUUGGAAUGACUUUAUGUGAUUUCAAAUUGAUAUCUUGAUUUUUUCUCUUUUUACAAGUGGAUAUGUACAGAAGAAACAUAAAUGAGGAGAAAUUUGACCGAGGCUAAUUUUGCUAAUAGGUAACUGUCAUCUACCUUAGUCUUGAAUUUGAGAAAACAUUGGUCAAUAAUUGCAACUUUUUGUCUUUUCUAUUCGUUAUUUCCCCAGUAUUGCCAAUUCUAUAAAAUAUUUAUGUCCUCUCUCAAGCUGAUAUGUAGAUUUGUUAAAUUUGGCUUGUAUAGUUCCUGUCUUAAACAUGAGUUUAGGGUUGUGAUCAGAAAUAAUGAAAAGCCAAUUCCUACUGGAAUUAGUUUUAGAUGUUUAUUCUUCACCUGUUCUUCCUAUUUGCCUCAUUUUACUUAAUGCACGGAGUUCUAGGUCUGUUCAUUAACCAAACAAUUGUAGAACCACUGUGAGCUUGAUUAACUUCAAUCCAUUUCUGAAAUAUAAUGCUCUUUCUUUCUCUUGUUUAUUUGGUUUAUUAAUUGCUUAAAAGUGUACUGCUCAGUUCAGUUGCAAUUUGUUUCUCCUUGUUCUUGUUGAUUUUAUCUUUGUUCUGGCCCUUCUUUCUAACUAUAGUAGCCUAUAAUUUCCACAAUGGUGAAAUAAAGUGUUAGAAUAAUACAUGCCAUGGAGAAGAUCUAAUUUAUCACUCAGAAUAAUAUGAACAAGAUUUGAGUACUGGUUGUGCCCACUUAAUGUACAUUCUUCCUUACAGUGCGUCGCGAUAUUAGUCUAUUCAUUGAAAAUAUAUUCUUUUGUGAAUUAUUUGCUGAUUUAUUUAUUUAUCAUCUUUUGUAGGUGACAAAAAUGACCCGAGAGUAGCCAAAAACAAUGGAUAUCUUAUUUAAGAGUAUUAACACAUUGUUGUUCCAUUAGAUUUUCUAGCAAUCCAUCAUUUUUGAAACCAUUUCAAUGUAUGCUAACUCUUGAUUGUGAAAUAAUGUUGUAAUUAUUUUUUAUUUUAUAUAUGGAUAAUAGUUGGAAAUUUUGGAUUAUUUUAGUUGAUAAAUAGCUUCCUUUUGUGGUUUGUAAUAAAUAUCAGUGUAUUAUAUUAUAUCAUAUAGAUAACUAAUUUAUUUAUAAUCAAA